CCAAUAGCGUAUAUUAAAGUUGUUGCAGUUAAAAAGCUCGUAGUUGAAUUUCGGGGUUAGUAGAUUGGUCGUGCCACUGGUAUGUACUGGUCUUACUGAUUCCUCCUUCCUGAUGAACCGUAAUGCCAUUAAUUUGGUGUUGCGGGGAGACUGGACUGUUACUUUGAAAAAAUUAGAGUGUUUAAAGCAGGCUAACGCUUGAAUACAUUAGCAUGGAAUAAUGAAAUAGGACGUUCGAUCCUAUUUUGUUGGUUUCUAGGAUUGACGUAAUGAUUAAUAGGGAUAGUUGGGGGCAUUAGUAUUCAAUUGUCAGAGGUGAAAUUCUUGGAUUUAUUGAAGACUAACUACUGCGAAAGCAUUUGCCAAGGAUGUUUUCAUUAAUCAAGAACGAAAGUUAGGGGAUCGAAGACGAUCAGAUACCGUCGUAGUCUUAACCAUAAACUAUGCCGACUAGGGAUCGGAUGAUGUUAAUUUUUUAAUGACUCAUUCGGCGCCUUACG
rnacentral:rRNA from 1 species